rnacentral:rRNA from 1 species
GACGUAGAAGCGGUUUUGGCAAGAAACCGUGGAGACCGUGGAAGUGAGGAUGCAGACAUAAGUAACGUUAAGGGCAGUGAAAUCCUGCCCCGCCGUAAGUCCAAGGUUUCCUGGGCAACGAUCGUCGUCCCAGGGUUAGUCGGGUCCUAAGGUCAAGCCUAAAGGCGUAAUCGAUGGAAAGCGAGGUUAAUAUUCCCGCACGUGUUUUGGUUAAAGUCAUAUGUGCGUCAACUAGUUCAAGCAUGCCCGUUGAAUGCGGCAGAAGGGGUUGGAGCAAUCCAAUCCUGGCCUUGAGUUAGUAGCGCCGAGAAAAGUAUGGCGUAUCGUCCAAAGCAUCCCGUACCGCAAACCGACACAGGUGGAUGGGUAGAAUAUACCAAGGCGAAAGAGUGAAACCCCGUUAAGGAACUCUGCAAUUUAGUCCCGUAACUUCGGGAGAAGGGAUGCCCUCGCAAGAGGGUCGCAGUGAAAUGGAACAACCGACUGUUUAUCAAAAACACAGCACUCUGCAAACACGAAAGUGGACGUAUAGGGUGUGACGCCUGCCCGGUGCUGGAAGAUUAAAUGAUGGGGUGCAAGCUCUUGACUGAAGUCCCAGUAAACGGCGGCCGUAACAAUAACGGUCCUAAGGUAGCGAAAUUCCUUGUCAGGUAAGUUCUGACCCGCACGAAUGGUAUAAUGAUCUGGGCGCUGUCUCGGCUUCAAACUCGGUGAAAUCUUAGUCCCUGUGAAAAUGCAGGGUAGACGCAGUAAGACAAUAAGACCCCGUGAAGCUUUACUAUAACUUCAUAUUGGUUUUUGGUUUAACAUAUGUAGGAUAGGUGGGAGUCUAUGAAGUGAUGACGCUAGUUGUCAUGGAGACAUCCUUGAAAUACCACCUUUGUUAAAUUGAGGACCUAACUUGCACCCCUUAUCUGGGUGGAGGACAGUGUGUGGUGGGUAGUUUGACUGGGGCGGUCGCCUCCCAAAAGGUAACGGAGGCGCACAAAGUUACACUCAACAUGGUCGGAAAUCAUGUGUGGAGCGCAAAAGUAUAAGUGUGAUUGACUGUGAGACUUACAAGUCGAGCAGGGUCGAAAGACGGUUUUAGUGAUCCGCUGGUUCCUUGUGGAAGGGCCAGCGCUCAACGGAUAAAAGUUACUCCGGGGAUAACAGGCUUAUCUCCCCCAAGAGUUCACAUCGACGGGGAGGUUUGGCACCUCGAUGUCGGCUCGUCUCAUCCUGGAGCUGUAGUUGGUUCCAAGGGUUGGGCUGUUCGCCCAUUAAAGAGGCACGCGAGCUGGGUUCAGAACGUCGUGAGACAGUUUGGUCCAUAUCUACUGUGUCCGUAGGAUAUUUGAGAAAAGCUUCCCCUAGUACGAGAGGACCGGGGUGGACGUACCACUGGUGUUCCGGUUGUCCUGCCAAGGGCAUGGCCGGGUAGCUAUGUACGGAAUCGAUAAAUACUGAAAGCAUCUAAGUAUGAAGCGAAUUUCAAGAUAAGAUAUCCCACUCUUUAUGAGGUAAAUUCCCUUAUAGACUAUGAGGUUGAUAGGCUGGGUGUGUAAGUGUAGUAAUGCAUUGAGCUAACCAGUACUAAUUGAAUGGGAAAUCAUGUGU